rnacentral:lncRNA from 1 species
AUAGCUCUUGAAAAAAUUAUUGUCCUUAGCGAUGAAUGUCAUUUAAUUUACAAAAUUUAGUCUACAUAUUCAAUUUCUCUAGAAUUAUCCCUCAACUAAAUCUUACCAUGUGGCUGUAUAUCAUGCAUGCACUUACUGCUAAUCUGUCAUUAUAUAAUCUAUCUGUAUUGAUAAGCACCAAACACAUUAAUUAUUUCCUUUUGAAGAAAAGACAUUUUGUAUUUUUUCUAUAAUUGUUCCGGUAAAAGAGAAAAAGCCUCAAAGACAUUUAUGAAACAAAGAGUCUCGAGUCAAAUAAAAUAGUUUGAUGAGAACAAGUUUGCCGUAUCAAAAAAGUAAACACCAAACAAAAACAUAACCAACACAGAAACUUAUAAUUGCUUUAAAACAUCCCAUAAUCAACUUUUUUUUUCUCUCUUUUAAAUAGAUAACAUAACUAAGUCACUCAAUCUCUUUAGAAGGCAGUACACUAUUUGACCCAUUUCAAAUAAAAAACAAAUUCAGUUUGAAAAUUAGAUUAUCUCAAGUUCUAUUCUUCUAAACUGUAUAAGACAGUUAAUGGUUUACUUUCUUAAAAUUUUAUGUGUAAUUUUUAUUUUUGUUAAAUGAUGAAGGAAUAAAACGGAUAGAAAAUAGAGAGAAAGAAAUGCAUUUGCUUGGAUCAAACUCCUGACAAGGAGACAAACUAAUUUCUAGUUCAUUUCACCAACACAAUAACAAUUCAACUUUGAAAACAAUGUUAUUUAUCAGUAACCUAACACAUAAGGUAAAUGAAUUUCGGGACCCAUCACACUUGGGAGCCCUAGGUGGUCGCCUCUUUCGGCUACCCUCAGGGCCGACCCUAGGUAGGCUUGAAUGCAUAGGUAGAAACCAAAUAUCUUAUCCACUAUGAUAUUGGACCAUAUGGAGCAGUUAGCAAAACUCCUUAAACAAAUGUUUGGCUCUUCAAUACAUGAGAAAGGAAAUGACCUAUCAUGAAUGCUUAACAAGUUUAACUCUCUCAUUCAAAGAAAAAACAUUUAUAACUUUUUUAUGUUGGUAAUGGACCACAUGCAUUACUAUAUUAAAUAUAUGGGGGCAUGUGGAUGUAUGGGUAGAAACCUAACAUCUUAUCCACUAGGAUAUUGGAACACAUGCAACAGCUAGCAAAACUCCUUCAACAAAGGCUUCACUCUUCAGUACACAUGAAGAAAAUGACCUUUCAUGAAUGUUUAAUAUUUUAACUCUCUCAUUCAAAGAAAAAACAAUUGUAACUUUCUGAUUUCAGCCAUGGACCACAUGCAUUAUUAUAAUAAAUAUAUGGCAGCUGUGAAUGCAUGAGCAGAAACCCAACAUCGUAUUCACUAGGACAUUAUACCACAUGCAACAGCUAGCAAAACUCUUAAACAAAGGCCUCGUUCUUCAGUACACAUGAAAGAAAAGAACCUUUCAUGAAUGCAUAACAUGUUUAACUCUCUCCUUUAAAGAAAAAACAUUUGUAACUUUCUGAAUAGCACCCCAUUAACACAUUAACUUAUAUGUUCGGCCAUACUAACAUUUUAUAUACAAUACAUAUGAUAGUAUACAAGUCAUGCAUAGGUAGAAACUCAACAAUUCCUAGUCCAAUUGUUGUGGGAUUAUUAAACCAUACAAUGCAACAACUAGCAAAACUCCUUAAACAAAGACUUGGUUCUUUAGUACACGUGAGAAAAAUCAUGAACCAUUGAAUGGAACCCUUCAUGAAUGAUGCACAACAUCUAUUUAAUCAAAGAAAAAUAGUUGUAUUCGCAUUACCUCUAGAUUUGGCUUUGCCAUUAUAGAAGUAAAAUUAUGGUAAUGUGGCUUCCAAUGAUUCUAUUUACUUGACACACAUUAGGUAUAGUAGCAGUGUAAGAAAAUCUACGUAGACACAAAAAUUGGGCUAUGUUUAUUGUAACCAGGAAAGGCUAAAUCACCAGUGUUUCAUGAAUGCUAUUAACAAUUUUACACUUCUCUCAUUCAAAGAGAAAACAAAUAUUCUAAACUUUUUUGUCGACAUGAUCACAUGCAUUACCAUGUUAGAUAUAUGGUAGCAUGUGGAUGCAUAGGUAGAAACCCAACAUCUCAUUCACUAGGAUAUUGGACCGCAUGCCAGCAUCUAGCAAAACUCCUUCAACAAAGGAUUCACUAUUUAGAACACAUGAAAGAAAAUGACAUUUCAUGAAUGCUUAACCUGUUUAACUCUCUCCUUCAAAGAAAGAUACGUAUGUAACCUUUUUAUGGUCGUUGUCAACCUAUUAUGAGACCACAAUGCUUUAUUAUAAAGAAUAAGAAGCAGCUGUGAAAUGCCAUGAACAGAAACUCAACAUCCUAUCCACUAAGAUAUUGACCACAUGCAACAAUUAGCAAAACUCCUUAAACAAAUACUUUGUUCUUCAGUACACAUGAAAGAAAAGAACAUUUCAUGAAUGCAUAACAUGUUUAACUCUCUCCUUUAAAGAAAAAACAUUUGUAACUUUUUUAUGCUGACCAUUUACCACAUACAUUCUUACAUUAAAUAUAUGAUAGAUAUGGAUAUACAGGUAGAAACCCAACAUCAUAUCCACUGUGACAUUGGACCACAUGCAACAACUAGCAAAACUCCUUAAACAAAGACUUGGUUUUUCAGUAUAUGUGAAAGAAAAUGACCUUUCAUGAAUGCUUAACAUGUUUAACUCUAUCCUUCAAAGAAAAAACACUUGCAACUUUCUGAUGUUGGCCAUGGACCAUUAUAUAUAGUAGUUGUGAUCCACUUGGAUAUUGAACCACAUGCAGAAGUUAGCAUAACUCCUUAAACAAAUGAUUGGCUCUUCAGUACACGUGAAAGAAAAUGACCUUUCAUGAAUGCUUAACAUGUUUAACUCUCUCCUUUAAAGAAAAAACAUUUGCAACUUAUCCGAUGUCGGC